ACCUCUGCUUGGUUAAUAUACUAAUAUGUAAUUGUACAAACUCUGGUUUAUCUCUUCCAGUUUGGUCUGCUGUAAUAUCUGCUCACUUUGGAAAUGGCUCCAGCAGUUAGGAAUGCAUUUGUGGAGAUCGCAAGAAUGUCAAUUUUAUUUCUCUAUGAUGAUGCCAGUUUGCAGUUUGUACUGCUGGAAUCUCUUAUCACUUUGGAAAUGGCUCCAGCAGUUAGGAAUGCAUUUGGGGAAAUCACAAGAAUAUGAUGAUUAUUUCUCUAUCAUAAGGUUAUGAUGCCACUUUGCAGCAUAUGUGACCGUGUAUGGAGAGAAGCUCACUUCACCUCUUGUUUACGCAGAAGAAAUUCUUCCACGCUGUCACUAGAUUCUCGCUCAUUGCAGUGGAACCAUGACGACUGUUUACAGAUUACAGAGAACCUAAUCGAACGCCUUUAUGCAACUAUUGAAUAAUUGGAACACAACUUGUGACUUUAGCCCAGUGACAUUAAGCUAGUUUGGUCUGCUGUAAUAUCUGCUCACUUUGGAAAUGGCUCCAGCAGUUAGGAAUGCAUUUGUGGAGAUCGCAAGAAUGUCAAUUUUAUUUCUCUAUGAUGAUGCCAGUUUGCAGUUUGUACUGCUGGAAUCUCUUAUCACUUUGGAAAUGGCUCCAGCAGUUAGGAAUGCAUUUGGGGAAAUCACAAGAAUAUGAUGAUUAUUUCUCUAUCAUAAGGUUAUGAUGCCACUUUGCAGUUUGGACUGCUGGAAUCUCUUAUCACUUUGGAAAUGGCUCCAGCAGUUAGGAAUGCAUUUUGGGAAAUCGCAACAAUAUAACGACUUUCUCUAUCAUAAGGUUAUGAUGCCAGUUUGCAGGUGAUGCUGGAGUUUAAAUGAUCUACAGCCACAGGUGAGAAGUCGAUAAACCUUACAGUGCCUGGUUCGUAGAAGAAUUUCUUCUGUCCUGUGAUCUUAGCGCAGCAUAUGUGACCGUGUAUGGAGAGAAGCUCACUUCACCUCUUGUUUACGCAGAAGAAAUUCUUCCACGCUGUCACUAGAUUCUCGCUCAUUGCAGUGGAACCAUGACGACUGUUUACAGAUUACAGAGAACCUAAUCGAACGCCUUUAUGCAACUAUUGAAUAAUUGGAACACAACUUGUGACUUUAGCCCAGUGACAUUAAGCUAGGUUCUGUCAUAGCUGUCUCUUUAAAGAUGAACAAUUAAACUUAUAUACACACACGGUGCGCACAGGGAAAAAGGUGAUGAUGGCCGAAGUGCAGCAUUUUUCUUCGACUACCUUGAACGAUAAACAUGGAUGUAAUUUGGAUUUAUGGCCUCUGGCUGCUAUUUUAAGUGUUGUGUUGCUGUGUCUCAAUAAAGCUUUGACUUCUCUUA